rnacentral:rRNA from 1 species
GAAUAUUGGUCAAUGGGCGAAAGCUUGCACCAGCAACGCCGCGUGGAUGAUGAAGGCCUUCGGGUCGUAAAAUCCUUUUCUGGGGGACGAGUAAGGACGGUACCCCAGGAAUAAGUACCGGCUGACUACGUGCCAGCAGCCGCGGUAAAACGUAGGGUGCAAGCGUUAUCCGGAUUCACUGGGUGUAAAGCGCGUGCAGGUGGUCUCGUAAGUUGGACGUGAAAUCUUCUGGCUUAACUGGGAGAGGCCGUUCAAUACUGCGGGGCUGGAGGGCAGGAGAGGGAGGUGGAAUUCCCGGUGUAGUGGUGAAAUGCGUAGAUAUCGGGAGGAACACCAGUGGCGAAGGCGGCCUCCUGGCCUGCUCCUGACGCUCAGACGCGAAAGCUAGGGGAGCGAAC